AGAAGGCCUCCCGAAAAGCAUAAGCAAGUCUUUAAGAAAUCGCAGGUUGUAAAAAAGCGGAAUGACAUUUCAGACAACGUCAUCCCGC
rnacentral:sRNA from 1 species